rnacentral:lncRNA from 1 species
CGAAGGUGCGCUUGCUGACCGUUCCUUCAGUCUAAAUAUUGAAAGUGUGCGCUUUAAAUGUGUUUUCCUUGUAAUUGUUAAACUCUCCUCCUUUCUCCUCCAUUUCGGUCGAACUCCUCCAUUUUCAACCGAAAAUUCCUUCAAGUUUCACCGGAAAAAUAACCCUAUAUCGGUCCCCCCCAAAAAAUCACACUAUUUUCGGAACAAGCUCUUAUUAUUCAAGUAAGUUUUAUUUCUCCCAUUUUUUUUUGCCCUAAAUAGAUUCUUGUUAUAGUUUGAUUGGUUAUGAUUUUAUUUGUUUUCUAUUGAAUUCAUGUCUACUUGUUGCAUUUUGAUUAUGUCUAAGUUUAAUAUUAGAACAAAUUUAAUUGUUAUGUGAGCAAAAAUAUUAACUUAAAUUCCUUUUAUUUGUAGUGAAAUUUUUUUAACCAUUAGUAGUAUUUUUUGUUAUAUUUUGAUUGGUAGUAUAUUAUUUAUUUGGUUAUAAAAAAAUAUUAUCUUAUUAUUAUUUUGAUUGGUUGAAUUCAUCUUUAAUUGUUGUAUUUUGAUUAUGUCCAAGUUUGAAUAUUAGAAAAAACAUCGCUUUAAAUUGCUUUCUUUAUUGUGAAAAAAGUUGAUCAUUAGUAGUAGUUGAGUGUGUAGUAUUGAAAUGCCUAAUUUGUUCAAUUAUUUGUACACAUGAUUUACGUAGAUUAUAUAGUAUUGUAUUUCUCGAGGUAAAAAAUUAUAUAAGCGGAAAAAAGUAUCGCUUUUAGUAAAAUUUAUAAUACUAAAUUUUAGAACUGAAUAAUAAUUAUAUUAAAAUUUAUCCAAAAAUACAUAGUGACACGAUAUUAUUGAUUAUGUUAGUAAGACCAAGUGAAGAAUGAGUCAUGCUAUUCAACUCAUAAGCUGCCUAAUGACAAUUCUAUCCGCAUUUCAUAUAACAUACAUAAACGUUAAGGUAGGCAAUAGUUGAUGUGAAGGAAUAAAAUGGGGACUUUUUUAAUUUUCGUCACUGUCAGGAAUAACCAUGUAUUCUUCUUCGCCCAACAACUUCCCGGCAACAAUAUGGUACUCCAUAGUCCAAUGUUUGUGGUAAAUAUUUUAGAAGUCCUUUUCAUUCUUCAAUUGUUGGGCAUACUGGAUAUGUUUGAUCGUGAUGUAAUUUUGUGUUUUCUAAUACCGCCCAAUGAUCCUUUUCACUCCCCUCCACCAUGUUUAGUUCAUUCAAAGCAUGAAAGGUGUCUAGUGCUUUUUUCAUCUCUAAGAUUUCUUUCAUCAAGUGCUGGAUAACUAGUGCUUCAUCUCUGAACUUGCAUUCUUGGAAAGUUGCUGAAACUGCUUGUGGUAUAAUGAGGCUGUGCCAGUGACAUAAUACCUCAUAAUCACAAUUCUUCGAAUAUAACUCGACCCAUUGAAGUUUUUUACCCCAAACUCGAACUCCUUCAGGCUUUGUUGAGUGUGCGGUACCUUUAAUAAUGUGUCCUGCUACUCCCAGAUCUAUAUAGAUAGAAAUUGGUUAAUUUUGUAAGGGGCAAAGAAUACUAUUCCACUUUUUACCCGAAAGAUUGAUAUAACAACCUAGCAUAUUUUUUUUUCAAAAUAUGGUUCAAUUCUAUUUAAUAUUUCGCUCUUACCAUGGAGGUUUCGUGAACUACCUUCUCCUUUUUGCCUUUUCUGAGUUUGUUCAAUUCUCACCGGUAGUAUACCCACAUCCACGACAACAUCUUCAUAUUGAUCCAGUUCCCUUUCAUUUGGCAUGAAGUCGCAGGUAGUGGAUGGGUCCGAAGACACAACUGCAUUGGAGAUGGCCAAAGGAAGGGCACAACUUAGGUCACGUGGUAGGCCACCAUGACAAGUUAGAUGUCAUGGCGUUGAUGCACCUAUAGUGAGGCGGACUAAGCCUGUCGAUACAGAUGGGCAUGAGCAGGCAUAUCCUCAUAGUCUUAGACGUCGUGCUGAAAUUCAUGCUAGGCCUUGUGGCACGUGGAUGUAUUGUCCGGUUUAUCAUUACUUUUAAUUUUUAUUUGCUAACUUGAUAUCGUUUCACGUGAAUGUAUUGUCUUGUUUAUCAUAAUUUCUGAAUUGUUCACGAGAUUCAGUAGUCAGAAUUUACGUUUUGUAUAAAUUAAUUUUUUAGAACGUGCACGUGAAUUUGUC